rnacentral:lncRNA from 1 species
AAUGCAAGGGGGUGGGGAGGUGGACUUGGUGUUAAAGAGAAAACCACACUGUCAACAACAGCCAGACUUCAAAAGCAUCUAAAGAAACAAAGACAAAGCUGCCAUCAUCAUUUGUUAGUAGACAGUUUUCAUGGAGUGGGGAUUGACUCACUUUAGGCAAAAGAAUGCAUCCAGCAUUGUUUAAAGAGGGAGGCAACAGCCAAGAAGAGCUAUGUGAGGCCUCUCUUGGCCCUCCAGUUCUUCAUUAGGGAGCAAGGAAAGGAGGACUUUGCCAAGAGCAAACCUGAAACAUUCCUUUGGGUUCAGUUCAAUCGCCUGCAAGUCACAUUUCCACACAAACACAUCCCCAGGACUGAGGAUGCAAGGCACUGUUCAAGGCGUCUCUUGGAUGAAGACAUGGCAAAAGCUACCACCACAGCAGCUCUGUGAUUCUUCUACUAGGGUAUUCCAUUGGCUGAACUCAGCUGAACACUCCAGGGUAAAGAAGCCCAGAUGAUGCUGUCUGUUGAAGUCAGUUUCCCGAAGCACAAAGCAGGUAAGGAGAAAGGUGAAAAGUGGAUCUGGAGGAACAAACAGGAUAUACCCUGCAAAAUCAUUGAUAUUACUAUUUCUAAAAUAGAAAAAAUACACAAAUUUAAAAAGUGAUGGCAUUUGAAACUUACCUCUGUCAUCAAAUGUGAAUAAAAAUAAUUCCUAUAUAAUAAUGUUACUGCGUAACCUUGAAAAUCAA